rnacentral:rRNA from 1 species
GACGAACGCUGGCGGCGUGCUUAACACAUGCAAGUCGAACGGUGAAGCUCCAGCUUGCUGGUGUGGAUCAGUGGCGAACGGGUGAGUAACACGUGAGCAACCUGCCCCAGACUCUGGAAUAAGCGCUGGAAACGGCGUCUAAUACUGGAUACGAGAUCAAGCCGCAUGGUUAGGGUCUGAAAAUUUUGUCGGUUUGGGAUGGGCUCGCGGCCUAUCAGCUUGUUGGUGGGGUAGUGGCUCACCAAGGCUACGACGGGUAGCCGGCCUGAGAGGGCGACCGGCCACACUGGGACUGAGACACGGCCCAGACUCCUACGGGAGGCAGCAGUGGGGAAUAUUGCACAAUGGGCGAAAGCCUGAUGCAGCGACGCCGCGUGAGGGAUGACGGCCUUCGGGUUGUAAACCGCUUUCAGCAGGGAAGAAGCGAAAGUGACGGUACCUGCAGAAGAAGCACCGGCUAACUACGUG